rnacentral:rRNA from 1 species
UGGGGAAUUUUGGACAAUGGGCGCAAGCCUGAUCCAGCCAUGCCGCGUGUCUGAAGAAGGCCUUCGGGUUGUAAAGGACUUUUGUCAGGGAAGAAAAGGGCGGGGUUAAUACCCCUGUCUGAUGACGGUACCUGAAGAAUAAGCACCGGCUAACUACGUGCCAGCAGCCGCGGUAAUACGUAGGGUGCGAGCGUUAAUCGGAAUUACUGGGCGUAAAGCGGGCGCAGACGGUUACUUAAGCAGGAUGUGAAAUCCCCGGGCUCAACCUGGGAACUGCGUUCUGAACUGGGUGAAUAGAGUGUGUCAGAGGGAGGUAGAAUUCCACGUGUAGCAGUGAAAUGCGUAGAGAUGUGGAGGAAUACCGAUGGCGAAGGCAGCCUCCUGGGAUAACACUGACGUUCAUGCCCGAAAGCGUGGGUAGCAAACA